AGCAGUCGCCGUGGUAAAACGGAGGGUGCAAGCGUUAAUCGGAAUUACUGGGCGUAAAGCGCACGCAGGCGGUCUGACAAGUCAGAUGUGAAAUCCCCGGGCUUAACCUGGGAACUGCAUUUGAAACUGUCAGGCUGGAGUCUUGUAGAGGGGGGUGGAAUUCCAGGUGUAGCGGUGAAAUGCGUAGAGAUCUGGAGGAAUACCGGUGGCGAAGGCGGCCCCCUGGACAAAGACUGACGCUCAGGUGCGAAAGCGUGGGGAGCAAACAGGAUUAGAUACCCGCGUAGUCCCUGUCUCUUAUAA
rnacentral:rRNA from 1 species